rnacentral:tRNA from 1 species
GCGGGCUUGGCCGAAUGGUCAGGCAGCGGCCUUCCAAGCCGAGUUCACCGGUUCAAUCCCGCUAGCCCGCUCCA